AAACGACCUUUAGCACUUUGAGUUAAUAAUCGUGGAAUGCUGCCGGGAUAUAACUUAAUGGGGGUGGAAUCAGCUGUAACCGUCCUUGUUGGUGGCACGCACCAGAGGGGCUCUUCCCACCCAGGGACUGAACCCAGAUCUCCUGCAUUGAGGGAAGAUCCUUCACCUUCUGAAGAGGCUGUUUGUUCCCGCUGGCCAUAGUUUGCUGAUGUUUGCUCUGGAGGCUUGUGAUUGAAAAAUGCUUUCAGGACCCUUGCUUUUCUGGCCAGCAAAAAACUUACAAAAACGAUUCUCAUGUGGGGAACACUCAAG
ensembl:lncRNA